GAGGAAAAGAAACUAACAAGGAUUCCCCUAGUAACUGCGAGUGAAGCGGGAAAAGCUCAAAUUUAAAAUCUGGUAGUCUUUGGCUGCCCGAGUUGUAAUCUAGAGAAGCAUUAUCCGCGCUGGACCGUGUACAAGUGUCCUGGAAUGGACUAUCAUAGAGGGUGAGAAUCCCGUCUUUGACACGGACUCCCAGGGCUUUGUGAUGUGCUCUCAAAGAGUCGAGUUGUUUGGGAAUGCAGCUCUAAAUGGGUGGUAAAUUCCAUCUAAAGCUAAAUAUUGGCGAGAGACCGAUAGCGAACAAGUACCGUGAGGGAAAGAUGAAAAGAACUUUGGAAAGAGAGUUAAACAGUACGUGAAAUUGCUGAAAGGGAAACGCUUGAAGUCAGUCGCGUUGGCUGGGGAUCAACCUUGCUUCUUGCUUGGCUUACUUCCCAGUUGACGGGUCAGCAUCAGUUUUGACCAGUGGAUAAAGGUUAAGGGAAUGUGGCACCUCCGGGUGUGUUAUAGCCCUUGGUCAUAUACAUUGGUUGGGACUGA
rnacentral:rRNA from 2 species